rnacentral:piRNA from 1 species
UGAGCCAUGGGUCCAGGAAUGCCACCAG